GGAACAUCUACUGGAUGAUAGACAACCCAUCAUGAGCCACUUUCUUGAAGAAAACUUACUCUUCCAAUCCUAGCAGCCUGCAGCUGCCAAUGCUCCUCUGCCAAUCCAUCUGCUAGAGAUUGAGAUUAUGUCUGUGUGAUGGAACCCAGCAUAAGACCCUCAACAUGGAGAUCUGAGUGGGCUGAAACCUCUAUAUUCUACAUGCCUUGAGCUACAUUCAUGCUCUGAAGAUGUAUUGACUAGGCCAAGUGGAAAAUUACCUCUUUGGUUUAAGACAAUAUUUCUCUGCCAAGCCAAGUUCAUGGAGGACAAUCCAAGAACGAUGCAACGUGGGCAGCUGGCCUGCCUUUGGCUCCUGCUGUUACGUCCUCCAUGCCUGCCGCUUGUCUUCUCCACCAAAACGCAGAGCCUUGCACUGCGCCUGUCAGGCAGCACGCAGCAUUUCUCCUUUAAGUUGCUUUUGUUGAAGCACUUUAUCUGAACAAUGGAGAAGAAACUAAAACAACACUUCAUAAAAGAAAAAAAGAAAUAUUGC